CAUGUACUCCCUCCGUUUGGAAUUACUUGUCGCAGAAAUGGAUGUAUCUAGACGUAUUUUAGUUCUAGAUACAUCCAUUUUUGAGACAAGUAAUUCCGAACGGAGGGAGUACUGA
rnacentral:pre_miRNA from 1 species